rnacentral:tRNA from 1 species
AGGUUGGUUAAUGAAUGAUGGAAACUGAGAAGCACAUAGUCCCGAAAUGUGAGUCCGAGGGUUCGAAUCCCUACCAACUCG